UUAAGGUGAAUUUUUAUGAUUUUGUCGUCUGUCAGUAUUUGAGUGGCUAGAAUAACCUGGAUUGUCAGGUUAAUAUAAUAUAUCAGCGGAGCUCGCCUGGAUUACACAGAUAGAGGAACAACUACUAAACUACUAUCCAUUUUCUAAAAGAUUAUAAAAGCAGGAUGUUGUUACAUAUUUUAAUUAUUGCCACAUGUAUGAGUAUCGUACAAUGUAAAGUUGUGACGUCAUGUGCAAUAUGGCCGGAUAUGAUGGUACAACCAGGUUUUAACUGGAGAGAGAGGUGUAGAAAUUGUACGUGUGUUUUAGGUGUUGGCAGUAAUUGUGACGGACCAACCUGUUCUAUACCAUAUCAUCCUUCACACGAACAGAUCUGUGCAAGAUGGUCAGCUGAUGGAUGUUGUUGUGAACAACUUGGUUGUUUAAAACAUGGACGUGUAUAUGAAGUUGGCAGUUAUUAUCCUAGAUCUAUUGAGAGACCAUGUACAAAAUGUCCAUGUAUGGCUGGUCAACGUAUUCCAUCUUGUAGAGUUGAGGUUUGUCAACCGAAAUGUGUCGACAGUGUUCAAGUAGAGGGGAUCUGCUGUCCAGUUUGUCAAAAUGGUCCUAACUGUGAGGUACCUGCACAUUUAUUCUCGCAAAAAAGUCAAAGACACGCCCCUAUUCCCGUGAACCAACCAUCAACCAUAACAGACCCGCUUGACCAAUCAAGAUCAUACAUCUGUCAAUGUCAAGUAGCUGGAAGAGUUGCCCAAUGUGAACAUCUCAAAACAUCAAUUCGUCAGCCAUUAUUAGAUUUGAUUCGAUCUAUUACGUCAUAUAGUAAUGUAGUGUAAGAACACAAGCCCCUGGUAGUAGAGAGUGUUUGGGUGGGUGGUUGUAUGCCGUUAAACCCCAUUUCAUUUCAUUUCAUUUCUUUAAAAUGCGUCUUAGAAUCUUUCCACUAGCACUCUUAGGUAUUUCCUCCAGGAACUCAACACCACCUCUAAGUCUCUUGUGAGGAGCAGUGCAUUCUGGAUUAUAAAGAUAUAAAUAAAAGUGUUUCUUUAAAUCAAGGUGUGUGAGAUAGUAUGUGAUAUUUACCAUAUUCAAAGUGUCAAGGUAUUAUGAAAUGAAAUAGGGUUUCAUGUCUUACUUUUCUACACGGACUGGGAUAAGGAAGACAAUACUGUUUCAGCGCCUUUUACUCUUGUCAGCUGUGCUGGAUAGAGGGUCUGGCCAGUUCCAUAGCACACUGCAUGGUGUCUGUCCGUCUUCAGUCUACACAGGAUCUCUCUAAUAAAAACAAUAAACACUAAACUGUUCUUACAGCCAGCUGGUGUAUUUGGGUUUUUUUUAACUGCCAUUCAAACGAUUUAUGUUAAUUCUGAAUAAAAAUGUGUUCCUUGGUUUAUGUAGGUGGGUCGACAUCGUUUUAUCAUUGUUUCCAUUGAGGACCAAGCUCUCGUUUUCGAGGCAGGGUGAAAUUAUGUGAAUCGAAACGUGAUAUUGAACAGUGAUUUUUAUAAGCAUACACGAAGCUAGUUUGCCAUAUCUUACAUCGACGUUUUCUAGUCGAAGACAUUAAGUAUACUUUGAUAAUUUUGAGAAGGAGCUUUCCAUGUUGCAUCCGCAUCGGUAUGAAAUGAAUCUUCGACACCGACUGGAAAACAUUUUACCCCAAAUCAUAUUUUUUCUGAAUAGUUCACGGCAAGCUUUAUAACAAUCUAUUUGAAUUUAACGUACCAGACAUUCGAUGAAUGGACAACCUAAGAGUUAUGCACGCACAACGAAAUCAACAGCAGAUCCAAUCUGGGGACUAUAAUUAUUUUUCGUCACCCCUAAAACUGUCUUAAUAUAGAAAUAAACCAAUUUAUUCGAUCGUUGAGAUAACAUGAUUAUGUUCAACUGACAAGGGAAUAUAUCUUUAAUUCAAAUAAAAGUUCAUCAGGGGAUGAAAUCUAACUGGACAAUCGAUCUUGACGAUGUUAAAAACAUCACGAAGCACAGGUUACCUUAAUGAAUGUACAGUGUAUUUUACUUUUGAAUAUUGCUAAAUUUAUUAGAUUAUAAUUUGCUAUUUAAUGUUCUUUUCUUUAAAACACGUCUUAAAAUCUUUCCACUAGCACUUUUAGGAAUUUCCUCCAGGAACUCAACACCACCUCUAAGUCUCUUGUGAGGAGCAGUACAUUCUGGAAUAGAAAGAUAUAAAUAAAAGUGUUUCUUUAAA